GACAGAGGGUGCAACCGUUGCUCGGAAUUACUGGGCGUAAAGCGCGUGUAGGCUGACCGGAAAGUCGGGCGUGAAAUCCCUGAGCUCAACUCAGGAACUGCACUCGAAACUCUCGGUCUAGAGUGGUGGAGAGGGAAGUGGAAUUCCUGGUGUAGAGGUGAAAUUCGUAGAUAUCAGGAGGAACACCAGUGGCGAAGGCGGCUUCCUGGACACCAACUGACGCUGAGACGCGAAAGCGUGGGGAGCAAACAGG
rnacentral:rRNA from 1 species